rnacentral:lncRNA from 1 species
GCUAUGAGGCAAAUCAUAAUUUCCAGUGCUUUGGUGAAAUGGCUCCUCGAGUACAUCCUGUAGUUCUCAGCAAACUUCUCAUGUCUCACGACAAAACCACGCCCAGUUGCUCUGUAUUUCGCGCCACCAUGUAAAAUUGUGCGGCCAAAGUAAAGAAAACAGCAGCCAACUGCAGGUUCAUUAUGAUAAUGUCACCUAAAGCAGUCCUGAAGCCUCUU